rnacentral:rRNA from 1 species
GAUGAACGCUGGCGGCGUGCCUAUACAUGCCAGUUGAGCCAACCGAAGGGAAGCUUGCUUUUCUGGUUUUAACGGGGGGAGGGGGAGUAACACGUUGGAUACCCACCUAUUAAACCGGGAUAAACUUCGGAAAACCGAACCUAUACCGGAAUAAUAUUUUAACCGCCAGGUUUCAAAGUUAAAAAAGGGCUUGCCUUUACCUAUAGAAUGAAUCCGCGCUGCAUUAGCUAGUUGGUAAGGUAACGGCUUACCAAGGCAACGUUGCAUAGCCGACCUGAGAGGGUGAUCGGCCACACUGGAACUGAGACACGGUCCAGACUCCUACGGGAGGCAGCAGUAGGGAAUCUUCCGCAAUGGGCGAAAGCCUGACGGAGCAACGCCGCGUGAGUGAUGAAGGUCUUCGGAUCGUAAAACUCUGUUAUUAGGGAAGAACAUAUGUGUAAGUAACUGUGCACAUCUUGACGGUACCUAAUCAGAAAGCCACGGCUAACUACGUG